GGUGACAUGGCUGAGGUAUUUAAGCAAUAAAUUGUAAAUUUAUUUACGGGUGUUAUUAACUCUGUUACCA
rnacentral:tRNA from 1 species